CAAGUUUUUAAGGGCGCACGGUGGAUGCCUUGGCACCAGGAACCGAUGAAGGACGUGGGAGGCCACGAUAGGCCCCGGGGAGCUGUCAACCGAGCUUUGAUCCGGGGGUGUCCGAAUGGGGAAACCCGGCAGUCGUCAUGGGCUGUCACCCAUACCUGAACACAUAGGGUAUGUGGAGGGAACGCGGGGAAGUGAAACAUCUCAGUACCCGCAGGAAGAGAAAACAACCGUGAUUCCGGGAGUAGUGGCGAGCGAAACUGGAUGAGGCCAAACCGUAUUGGUGUGAUACCCGGCAGGGGUUGCCAGUGCGGGGUUGUGGGAUCUCUUUUCUGCAGUCUGCCGGCUGUGGGACGAGUCAGAAACCGUUGAUGUAGGCGAAGGACAUGCGAAAGGUCCGGCGUAGAGGGUAAGACCCCCGUAGCUGAAACGUCAGCGGCUCGUUUAAGAGAUACCCAAGUAGCACGGGGCCCGUGAAAUCCCGUGUGAAUCUGGCGGGACCACCCGCUAAGCCUAAAUAUUCCCUGGUGACCGAUAGCGGAUAGUACCGUGAGGGAAUGGUGAAAAGUACCGCGGGAGCGGAGUGAAAUAGUACCUGAAACCGUGUGCCUACAAGCCGUGGGAGCGUCGCGCAAGAACUUGUUCUUGCGUCGUGACUGCGUGCCUUUUGAAGAAUGAGCCUGCGAGUUUGCGGUAUGUUGCGAGGUUAACCCGUGUGGGGAAGCCGUAGCGAAAGCGAGUCCGAAGAGGGCGUUGAGUAGCGUGCCCAAGACCCGAAGCGGAGUGAUCUAGCCAUGGGCAGGUUGAAGCGGAGGUAAGACUUCGUGGAGGACCGAACCCACCAGGGUUGAAAACCUGGGGGAUGACCUGUGGUUAGGGGUGAAAGGCCAAUCAAACUCCGUGAUAGCUGGUUCUCCCCGAAAUGCAUUUAGGUGCAGCGUCGUGUGUUUCUUGCCGGAGGUAGAGCACUGGAUAGGCGAUGGGCCCUACCGGGUUACUGACCUUAGCCAAACUCCGAAUGCCGGUAAGUGAGAGCGCGGCAGUGAGACUGUGGGGGAUAAGCUCCAUGGUCGAGAGGGAAACAGCCCAGAGCAUCGACUAAGGCCCCUAAGCGUGUGCUAAGUGGGAAAGGAUGUGGAGUCGCAGAGACAACCAGGAGGUUGGCUUAGAAGCAGCCAUCCUUGAAAGAGUGCGUAAUAGCUCACUGGUCAAGUGAUUCCGCGCCGACAAUGUAGCGGGGCUCAAGCACACCGCCGAAGUCGUGUCAUUGCAGUAUGUACUCCUAACGGGGACUGUGAUGGGUAGGGGAGCGUCGUGUGCCGGGUGAAGCAGCACCGGAAGGUAGUUGUGGACGGUUCACGAGUGAGAAUGCAGGCAUGAGUAGCGAUACACACGUGGGAAACGUGUGCGCCGAUUGACUAAGGGUUCCUGGGUCAAGCUGAUCUGCCCAGGGUAAGUCGGGACCUAAGGCGAGGCCGACAGGCGUAGUCGAUGGACAACCGGUUGAUAUUCCGGUACCCGCUUUGAAGCGCCAAACAUCGAAUCAGGCGAUGCUAAGUCCGUGAAGCCGCCCUGAGCUCUUCGGAGCGUAGGGGAGUGGUGGAGCCGACGAACCAGACUUGUAGUAGGUGAGUGAUGGGGUGACGCAGGAAGGUAGUCCAGCCCGGGCGGUGGUUGUCCCGGGGUAAGGGUGUAGGACGCACGGUAGGCAAAUCCGUCGUGCAUGAAGUCUGAGACCUGAUGCCGAGCCGAUUGUGGUGAAGUGGAUGAUCCUAUGCUGUCGAGAAAAGCCUCUAGCGAGUUUCAUGGCGGCCCGUACCCUAAACCGACUCAGGUGGUCAGGUAGAGAAUACCGAGGCGUUCGGGUGAACUAUGGUUAAGGAACUCGGCAAAAUGCCCCCGUAACUUCGGGAGAAGGGGGGCCAUUGCUGGUGAUGAGUCUUGCACUCUGAGCUGGUGGUGGCCGCAGAGACCAGCGAGAAGCGACUGUUUACUAAAAACACAGGUCCGUGCGAAGCCGUAAGGCGAUGUAUACGGACUGACGCCUGCCCGGUGCUGGAACGUUAAGGGGACCGGUUAGCUCUGUUUCGACAGGGCGAAGCUGAGAACUUAAGCGCCAGUAAACGGCGGUGGUAACUAUAACCAUCCUAAGGUAGCGAAAUUCCUUGUCGGGUAAGUUCCGACCUGCACGAAUGGCGUAACGACUUCUCGACUGUCUCAACCAUAGGCCCGGUGAAAUUGCACUACGAGUAAAGAUGCUCGUUUCGCGCAGCAGGACGGAAAGACCCCGGGACCUUUACUAUAGCUUGAUAUUGGUGUUCGGUUCGGCUUGUGUAGGAUAGGUGGGAGACUGUGAACUCGUCACGCCAGUGGCGGGGGAGUCGUUGUUGAAAUACCACUCUGGUCGUGCUGGAUGUCUAACCUGGGUCCGUGAUCCGGAUCAGGGACAGUGUCUGGUGGGUAGUUUAACUGGGGCGGUUGCCUCCUAAAGAGUAACGGAGGCGCCCAAAGGUUCCCUCAGCCUGGUUGGCAAUCAGGUGUUGAGUGUAAGUGCACAAGGGAGCUUGACUGUGAGACUGACGGGUCGAGCAGGUACGAAAGUAGGGACUAGUGAUCCGGCGGUGGCUUGUGGAAGCGCCGUCGCUCAACGGAUAAAAGGUACCCCGGGGAUAACAGGCUGAUCUUCCCCAAGAGUCCAUAUCGACGGGAUGGUUUGGCACCUCGAUGUCGGCUCGUCGCAUCCUGGGGCUGGAGUCGGUCCCAAGGGUUGGGCUGUUCGCCCAUUAAAGCGGUACGCGAGCUGGGUUUAGAACGUCGUGAGACAGUUCGGUCCCUAUCCGCUGUGCGCGUAGGAGUCUUGAGAAGGGCUGUCCCUAGUACGAGAGGACCGGGACGGACGAACCUCUGGUGUGCCAGUUGUCCUGCCAAGGGCAUGGCUGGUUGGCUACGUUCGGAAAGGAUAACCGCUGAAAGCAUCUAAGCGGGAAGCCUGCUUCGAGAUGAGGGCUCCCUCCUCCUUGAGAGGGUAAGGCUCCCAGUAGACGACUGGGUUGAUAGGCCAGAUAUGGAAGCCCGGUAACGGGUGGAGUUGACUGGUACUAAUAGGCCGAGGGCUUGUCC
rnacentral:rRNA from 1 species